rnacentral:lncRNA from 1 species
GUAGCUGGAGGCAAUCAGACGUUCCCUUUAAGAAAGGCAGAAUUAAUUGGCUGUGGAAGAGAAACCUAUAUUCAGCUGCAGCAGUGCCCUUGCAGAGAAGUGAUUUUCAAUGGGCUCACUUAACACUAUUUUAAUUGUUUUAAAAUGUUUCUAUGGGCUUUUGGAGGUCAGAAGCUGCUAAGUACUGAAGUCUUCCCCAGGGCUGUAGUCUGCGGGUUGGACAAAGGAAACCUGGAGAUUGUGAAAGGGAGCCUGGGAUGAACAGAAAUGAGGUGAGCAGUGGGUGGUCCCAGAACUGAAUGGCUACGAGUUCAAGUCCCUCUCUGCAUAAGAUGGGGUGAUCAGUUAAUGUCUCUUUCAAACACAGGGACUUCUGGAAGCUCAUCUAGGACUAUGACUGGACACUCCUGAAAAGUUAUGUCUAUAGAGACCGAUGGACCAGUGAUUAGAAUUUCAGUACAGUAGGGAGACUGGAAUGUUUCUGGGCCAGAGGCUAACUACCUUCUGUUGGGCUAGUUCUAGCCCUCUGGAGCAGUCAUUCCUUGCUGAUCUCUGCAAGGCCUUUAACAUAAUAGAUUAAAAACCUUUGCAGACUCACAGUCUUCGGUCAGUCCCAAAGCUAAGAAUGUCAUCCGAUAGCAUCUUGGGUGUAUAGAAAAGUCUCCCCCAUCUUGCUGUAACCACCUCUCUGAUGUAACCACCAAUAUAGUUUAAACUUGCCUUGACUUAUGUCUUUCUUUGUUCUGCAAAACUAGGAAGACUUCAUGAAACGGCUUCUACAUUGGAACAUGAGAUUUGGGGUAGUCUACAUCUGUUCAUGGGCAUGAUCAUUUCAAAUGGCUCCAAAAUAAACUGUCUUUUAUUCCCUUUAAGAUGACAGCUGUAGAUUUUGCAUUGCUAGGCAGUACUAACUGAAUGGGAUGUCAGUCGUGGUUCAAGACUUAGCAGCAUCGUGACUUUAGGAGGUCACAGAGUGUCAGCAUUUGGGGUUACAGGUAAGAGUCACAGCUCCCUACUGUUUCACUUGGCAGUGGGGGAUGGGAAUUCCCUUAGAGUUUUAGGAAUCUCAACUCAAGCCAGACCAACACUGAAAAGACUUCAGGACUAGCCAGUAUGGUAGAGUUGGGCAUUUUAUGAAAGAUCUUUAUUGUUACUAUUAUUUUUACUUAUUAAUUAUUAUUGUUGAUUUUAUUUGAGACAAGGGGUCUUUGUGUAGCCCUGGGCAUCCGAGAACUUGCUCUGUAGACCAGGCUGUCCUUGAACUUAGACCUGCUUGCUUCUGCCUCCUCAGUGCUAGGAUUUAAAGGCUUGCACCAUCACCAACCAUCAAAAGAGCUUUUUAAUACAGACUUAAGCACGACGAUGAAGAGAACCAGAAUUCACAAUUAAGAUUCUGGUAGAAUUUGCAGUCAUGACUGUAUCCAUGAGUGCUUCCACAGCAACACCUGACAUUAUAAUAGAUUAACCAAAAGCUAACCUACUGGGCUUCAGGAAGGUAGAGUACCUUUUCUAUGGGCAAAGUUGUCUGUGUUGUAAAUCAAGUGGACUAGCUCCCCCUUUAAAAGGUCCAUGUUUCUUCUCUGUCUUCCAGUGUCUCUGUCUCUCUGUCUCUAUCUCUCUCUCAUGUUCUCACAUCUGGACAGCCUUUUGUUUCCCCCCUCUACAACUAAACCUCUUGCAUUAGAUCUAUUGCACGGUGUGAUCUCUUAGUGGCACAUCUUAGCCCCAACUGCCAAAGGUACCCCCUCUGCUUUACCGUAACAGUUUGAGACUCUCAGGCAAUGAGUGACAGAAAUGAAUGAAGCCCUGCCGCCCCCGUGAUCAUGAACAUUCAAUUAUAUAUACAUGCAUGCACAAGGGAUGUGCCUACAGCCUUUACAGCGAAUGUAAUUUUAUGCUGGGAUUCUUGUUUCUCUACUGACUCUAAUCCCUCUUGUGUCCCUCAAAUCUCCCAGUCUUUCUGUCCUACCUCAAAAUGACUUCUGUGAAAAGAAGAAACUUGCAAUGAAAGCUGUGUUGAGAGAGCUUUCCAGAGUCUAGAUACCAUUAAGGCAACAGGACUGAAUCAGAUCUCAAGUCACUCUCUGGCAAUGGGCAUUCUUGGUUACCUUCGCCUUUGGCUACAGGCAUCUUGCAUGACUAGUAUUUAUGUUACAUCAGAGACUCCAGAUGGAUGCUAUGAUGUCUCUGGAGACUGGGGAGAUAGCUCGAUGGGUAAAAUGCCUCUGUACAAACACAAAGAGCCAAGUUUAGAUGCUCAGUGCCCAGUUAAAGCCAGUGUGGCAGUGCACGUCUCUAGCUCCUGUGCUGAGGUCAAAGCCAGGAGGGGCCUUGCCUACCAAUCAGUCGAGUCUAGCUAAAAGAGCAACCUCUAGAUUCAAUGAGACCCAGUCAGAAAAACUAAGGUGAAUACAUAUCUAGCCUUCCUUUGUGUAUCUAGUAUGACAUUUUUACUAUGUGUUUGGAUUAUUUUAUUGGUUUAUUGAUAAUAGGUCUGUUGGUUGAGUGAGUGAGUCAGAGUCUUACUAUCAGCCCAGGCUAAUCUAGAACGCUGUAUGUAGCCCAGAUUGGCCUUGAACUUGUGAUCCUCUUGUGACUCAGCAACCUAAGCAACAGAAUUUGAGGAAUGUGCCAUCAUGCCUGGAUUCUCUUCUUUUUGUUGUUUUUAUUUGAGAUGGGAAUCUUAUGACUGGCCUGGAGUUUACUAUAUAGUUCAGGCUGGCCUGGACAGUGUAACGGUCCUCUGGUAUCAACCUGUUCAACGCUGGAAGUGGAUACAUAAGUCCCACACUGGCUUUUUCUUCCAUCCUUCCUUCUUUCCUUCCUUCCUUCCUUUCUUUCUGUUUGUUUUUUUCAGGACAGGGUUUCUUCGUGUAGCCCCAGCUGUCCUGGAACUCACUCUGUAGACCAGGCUGGUGUCAGACUCAGAGAUCUGCCUGCUUCUGUCUCCCAAGUGCUGGGAUUAAAGAUUUACACCACCACUUCCAGUCAUACCUGGCUUCUUGUCCCUCACCUUACCUAUCAUGUAGCCUCGCCCUCUCUCCGGUAUUCAAUAGGCAUUUACUACAAAGGUAAACUAGCACUGUUUAUCUUUAUUAGCUUCCACACCCUCUACUUUCUUCUGUAAAGCAAUUUAGUGCUUUUUGAACCUGUGUCUCUGAACUUGAAGUCCUAAAGCAGGCACCUUCCCCCCCACCCCCAUACACAAGCAGGCACACACACACACCUACACACACACACACACACACACCCCUAAAGUUCUUUCAUCGCCACGGUGCUUGGAUUAAUGAACAUUUCUGAGUCUACUCCUUGGCUUUACAGUAAAGAGACAAAGUCUCGUAUCACUCACUAAUCAUGAGAUAAACACAAAUGCACUUUAUACAUUGUAAACAUGAUAAAAAAAAUGUAAAGCUAAGAUUACUGCUUACCACAGGGAGAUGGAAACAUACGACAAAGUAUAUAUCAAAAUAGAACUUUAACCUAACCCCUGCUCAGGGAACCAACCCCAUCUACAGCAAAUAGCUUUCGAAGUCAGCCUAUCCUACAACCCCUGAUGGAUUAGUUACUAAUUCCACAAGUGAGCUUCUAUCAGAGCUCCUCUAUCUGCUGCCCGGCUUGCUCAGCCCUUGAUAGUGACUGACACUCCCCAAUCCUCUCAGCUACCUGCUUUCAGUUCUGUACUGAUAGAGGAAAUCAAAUGUGUGCCCCAGCCAAUCACAUAGGAUGCCUUACUUCAUGGUAGCCAACUAAAGCUUCUGCAUGCCAACAGAAUCCAUGAGGGACAGGCCCUUUUUCACUCUUUAAAGUUUUCAUAACUCCUUGCAGUCCCCACCAGAGCGCAGUAGUGGCAGCUGGCUCUCUUGGGUUAGCAGAUCAAAAGAAAUAGCUUUUGCUUUCCUUUUCUGUCUGCUGCCUGGAAACAACAAGAAAACAAGAAAAAGACUAAGCAUCCAUAGACCAGAAAACAGAUUUGCUUUUACAUAACUGCAGUCUUGAGCUUAAAUUUGAAGAAGGCUGGUGUGAGCAAUGGCUCAUUUUGUGAUAGAUGCUGACACCUAGUGGCCACAAUUGGUAGUUAAAAGUAUAAUAUGUUGCCGGGCAUGGUGGCACACGCCUUUAAUCCCAGCACUCAGGAGGCAGAGGCAGGGGGAUUUCUGAGUUCGAGGCCAGCUUAGUCUACAAAGUGAGUUCCAGGACAGCCAUUGAUACACAGAGAAACCCUGUCUCGAAAAAACAAACAAACAAACAAACAAAAUAAAAACAACAAGAACAAAAGUAUAAGAUGUUUUAGCCCAAAAUAAAGAAAAGCUGUGAUCCCGAUGGUGGAGGGCUGGGAGUGGGUGCGGAUCACAGCGGGGGGUGGGGGUGGGGCGGGUAAGAACAUAGUCCUCAGGGAAUGGAGGCCUACGGAUGAGGACAGAGCUAAGGAAGGGAAUCAUGGAUGGCUCCUGGAAUGCCAUUGGAGUUGACCCCAAACUCUGCCUUGUUAGUUUUAAGACUCCUGUCGCAGGAUUGCUUAUCUUGUUGUCCAAGUGUUUUUGCCUUCAUGUGCACAGUACAUUUCCCAACCACAGGUGCUCGGCUUUCAAGUCACCCCAGAGGGAAAUGUUCCUUAAUCACCAUCGUUAGUAUUGCCAGCAGCUUCAGGGUGCCAACUUCGUACUUCUGGGCUAAGUGCUUUGUAAGUAAGUAGACAGACUGGAGUCAGACGACAGUACACAAAAUCUUGUCAUUCAUAAGUUGUUAAUUUUGAGUAAGUGGCUUCAUUUCUUUGUCUUUAAGGUGGAGAGGGCCAUCAUGUCUUUUUUUGUUGUUGUUGUUUUUCGAGACAGGAUUUCUCUGUGUAGCCCUGGCUGUCCUGGAACUCACUUUGUAGACCAGGCUGGCCUCGAACUCAGAGAUCCACCUGCCUCUACCUCCAGAGUGCUGGGAUUAAAGGCGUGCGCCACCACGCCCGGCUUCACAAGCAUUUUUGAGAGAGUUUAGAUAAUCCACAUAUGUAAAGUGCUCAGAACAGUAGCUAGGGUACCCUAAAUGCCAAACAAUUACUAAUGACAUUACCUACAUUUAUCUUUACAACACUUUGAAGUAAAUAUUAUAUCUCUUAUACUAGGCAAGAGUAAGAAACGUUUUCAGCUUUGGGCAACAGAAAAACAUGACUAACAGUGGCUCCUGGUUUUGCUUCCUCUCUCAGAUAAUGAGCAAGCAAGGGGUCGAGGUAAGUGGCUGCUGGCACUGGGUCCUGGCUCAGAGAUGUCAGAGCCAGCGCCUCAGAACUUUCUAGGGCUUUCCUUCAAGGUGGUAUUGUUCCAGUUCCAAAUAUCAUGUUCAACAACAACAACAACAACAACAACAACAAAAACAAAACCCAAGAGCAGGGGAAGAAACUGGGGCUGUGUGUGUCCAUUUGCUUCUUUUUUGCUUUCUUUCAUCAGAAAAACUAAAACAUUUUCCACUAAAGUCUGCUUCUGUUCUGUUGGCCGAAACUGUCACUUGGCUACUCCUAGCUGAAAAGGCUCAUGGGAAGUGAGUCUUUAACUUUCCCAGUUUACACAAUAGAAGGCAACAGGGGAGAAGGGAGCAGAAGAUAACUAUUGUCAGCUAUCUGGCUAUGUGCCACACCUUAGAAAAGGAGAGGAAGUGAAAUACACAGGCAAGAGAAACCAUGGAAAUUUCCCCAAGAUAGAUUAAAAAGUGAACCAUGAGGGGGAGGUAUGCUGGGACAAAUAACAGCAGAUAAAGGGAGAAGGCAGGUGGUUAGAAAAAUCAGACUUCAUAAACUAAGCUGUGUUGGGCCUGACUGUUAAUAGAAAGUCUUGCGACCAAAAUCCAUACACCUUGUGGAUCCAAACAUUUCCAAUUCUAAAGCGACAUGGCGAUACCUGCGUUGAUGGAGCAUGCCAUCGUGAGAACCUGCGGAGACACAAUGGAAGCAAGACUAUAAGAUGAGAUUUCAAUAGAUGGAAAACCCUUUAUGGAUACCUAUAAAGUAUACCGUAGGAUACCGUGUAUCAUAUCAAUAAGGGGUUAGCCUUGCUCAGGAGCCUGAUGGGAAACAGAUGGCUUUUGAAUGUUGCGCCAAGUGUAAAAGAAUGAGCGCGGUGUGAUGACUGAAAGAGCCUAAAGGUGGCGCUCGUGGAGCUAGUAAGAGAAGGGGCGGGGCCGGGGGGAAAGGGUGUAGCUCGGUUGGUAGAGCUUUUGCCUAAGCAGGCAUAAAAUCCUGGGAUACAAUCCCAGCAUGACAUAAACCAUGUCUGAUGAUUCAUAACUGUAAUCCAACUCUUGGAAGGUAGAUGCAGGGAGAUCAAAAGUUCAAGGCCAGCUUCUUCUGCUACAUUGUUAUUCUAGUUUGGGAUCAACCUGGGUUACAUGAGAUUCACACACACUUCAUUUGCCAAGUGUUGACAUUUUAACAAGACAAGUUUUUUUUUUUUUUUUUAAACAAGACAAGUCUUAAGAUAAAGUAGAUCUUUAUCUUAAAGAUGAUUCUGCUUUUUCUUUAAGAUACAGAUGAUUUCUAAAUAGCAAUAACAGGGACGGAAGACAAUUUUUUUGGAAAGCCAUUUGUUUUUAUCAUGGUAAAAUAUGCAUGAUAUAAAAUUCCACAUUUAGCCGGGCGUGGUGAUGCACGCCUUUGAUCCCAGCACUUGUUAAAAUGUCAACACUUGGCAAAUGAAGUGUGUGUGUGUGUGUAUCUCCUGUAACCCAGGUUGGUCCCAAACUAGAACUAGCAAUGUAGCAGAAGAAGCGGGCCUUGAACUUUUGAUCUCCCUUCAUCUGCCUUCCAAGAGUUGGAUUACAGGAGGCAGAGGCAGGCAGAUCUCUGAGUUCGAGACCAGCCUGGUCUACAAAGUGAAUUCCAGGACAGCCAGGGCUACACAGAGAAACCCUGUCUCGAAAAACCAAAACCAAAACCAAACCAAACCAAACCAAACAAAACAAAACAAAACAAAAACAAAAAUAAUCAACAUUUUAGCCUUGUUAAGUGAAUAGUUCUUUGGCAUCAAGUUCUUUCACCAUCCAAUUCUAGAACGUUCCCAUCUUCCUUUACUGGACUUUGACCCAUCACACACUAAGCCCUCAUCCUAGCCUCUUACCAGGCUUGGCAACUGUCUGAUAAAAUAAAUAAGGCUUCCUACUCCUUAUUUCCCUGCAUCCUGGCCCACAGGGACCUGGGUUUACCACCCUUGUUUCUUGGGGUUUUAGAGCCAUCUCCUAGGUUAUAUUUCCUUCUGUAUAAUUUUCACAGGAUCACUUUGUUUUGUGCUGUUCAGAGGAAUAAGCUUGGGUAACCUGGAAAUGUUAUAGGCUGUCCCCUGUCUAUGGAUGGAUCCAUCCAUUCACGGAUGGACCCAUCAUUGAUGGACAGUGAGCUGCAUGCCUGUAGCUCUGUGAGCCAGGCCGACCCUCUGUAAGGAUGCCAAAGAAGGAGGUACGCUUCAUCAUGGGACAUUCUCACCUCUUCUCCCACGAGCUCUCUUCUGACUGAUGAUUCCCUGAUCCGUGAAAGGAAAAUUGGAUCAAGGACUACAAACUGUUUUCAUUGAAAACAGGUUGGUUAAGCUAUUGAGCCAGUCUGCCCAGACAUGAGUCACCGGCAGUUAAAGCCAGGUUAAAGGUAAUAAUAUUGCUGGAAUACAGCCUUUUAGGGCAAGCGUUCAACAAAAGCAGGGCUAAUUAACAAAGGGUGGUGGUGAUGCUGGGUGGUGGGACCUCAAGCAAUGGGAGACCUGGAGGCCAAACUCAGUCCAGACAGAUCUUAUUGGACCUGUGUGAGGUAUUUUUAAAUAUGAUUAGCUGGUGAAUUUGAAAAUCAAAUUUCUGGUUUGGGUUGAAAAUGUUGGCAACACUCCUAGAAUCCUGCCUGGUAAAAGAAAUAAGGUUUCCCACUCGUUAUUUCCCUACAGCCUGGCCCACAGGACCCAGGGUUUGCAACUCUUGUUUCUUGGGGGUUUAGAGCCAACUUCUAGGUUAUAUUUAAUAAGAUAUCAAAGAAACAAUUAAUUAUAGCUACAAGAUAAUUAAAAUAAGGAAACCUUUGAAAAUGAACAGAUUCUGUGGGUGUUAUUAAAAGAUGAGUUAAGUUUCAGAUAUACUUGAAAAGUUGAUAAAGUAAUAUAAAACAAUAUCAGUCAAUAUGUAUUUGUGUGUAUUUGUAACACCCUAACAUUUUCAAUCUGCACUCUGAACUUUCCCCCACACACACUGCAUACUAAAGGGUACUUUAUGCUUUAGUUAUGGGUUAGAUUUAUGCCUUUGUAUGUGGUUCUCAUUAUAGCUGAAUAAAUGUUAUGUUCUUAGGUAUAGUUAUUCAUGAUAACUUAUUUUCUGUUUUGGUUUCAUUAGAGUGUAAGUUUACGAAGAGUAGACAUCUUCAUUUGAUUUCCAGAGCUAAGGAUAAUUCCUGACACAAUAGCAGAAACCCAGUGGCUAUGGGCAGGGAGGAUGAACUCCCAAAUGUGUGUCUGUGACAGAACCAGUAAUCUAAGGUAUGUUACUUAUGUAAGCCACCUUCUUCAUAUUCAGGGAGCUCGUUAGAAUUAUAAAAAGAAGCCGGGAAGUGGUAGAUCACAUCUUUUAUAAGCACUCAGCACUCAAGAGUGGAUCUCUGCGAGUUCAAGGCCAGCCUGGUUUACAAACUGAGUUCUAGGACAGUCAGGGCUACACAGAGAAAGCCUGUCUCAAAAUUAGAAAACAAAACAAAACAAAAUUAUGGAAGCAAGUCAUAAACUGGGUAUGGUGGUGCAUGUGUUUAAUCCCAGCACUCAGAAGGCAGAGGCAGGUGGAUCUCUGUGAGUUUGAGACCAGCCUGGUCUAGACAGUGAAUUCUAGGGUAGUCAUGAUUACAUAACAAGGCCCCGUCUCAAGAACAAGCAAAUAAUUAAAAACUAGAUAUAAAACAGGAAACAAUAAGGUGUGUGUGUGUGUGUGUAUUUGUCUUAUUAGAGGUUCCUGAGCAAGUGACUUGUUUGUACUUUGGAAGUUCCGUGUCUUAUUACCUGAUUGAAAGACAAAUUCCUAAGAGGAAGUUGUUGGGGCUCCAGAGAAAAGGAAAAGCCUGGGAGGUUCCAGGGAUAAUAGUUGGGAGUAUCUCCUACAGGAGCAGAGACCUCAGGACUGGUUUGACUGCAACAAACAGAAAGUCAGUUUGAAUUCCUGUGAGCGAAAGAGCUUUAUUGGCCUAUAAAACUGAACUGCAGAGAAAGUAGAUGACGGGAACACUUGGCAGCCAAUGCCUGGAGUCACCCCACUCCCGUCUGCAGCUGCUUCUCUGCAUCCACUCCCUUUAUGAGGCUAGAGCCACAUCUGCCACCUCUCCCAGACCCUCAUCCUCCUGUCUGACCCCAGCCAUGACGAAACAUGCUUGCUUAGUGCCAAAUGCCUGUCACACUUUGUUUGUUUUGAUGGAUUAAAACUGAGAAAAGAGCACCCAUGGAAAGUCACAGACUCACCUUAUCUCAGAGCUCCAUAAAAGUCAUCCGAUGAUCUUACAGACUUAUCCAAUGUAUCAGACAUGUCUGGCAAUAUUCCCAACAAAUGAUCUUUCAACUAGCACUGAACCGCUUAUGCCCCAUUCAGGCACUCCACGGCACUGUAAAAAAAAAAAAAAAAAAAAAAAAAAAAACAAACGCUCCACGUUGUCACAGAGUUGUUCUUUACAGUCAGAUAACAUCUACCACCAGUUGAUAAUGGCCUUCCCCUUUGUACAUCUCACUACAUCAGAUGCUUGAAGAGGUCAUUGGCCAGUGAGUCUUUGCAGGCUAAACUUCAAUGUGCUGUCACUGUUUCUCAGGUGGCACGGAGUUGAACUCCCCUUGGAGUUAUCAAUGGGCUCUUUCAACCUCCAAGAGGUAUUUAGUGUGCACUCGUUUUGUUCUGAGCAGUUAACUAGGUGUUAGAAAGGACAGGCAUGGGAAGGAAAGCAGGCUCUUGGCCUAACGGAUAGCAGACUCCUGAAGAACAGAGGGAUAUCAUACGGGCAAUCCCACUAUAGGGCACCUUCCAUGAUUCUCUUAGAGUUCAGUGUCACAAUUGAAUGUAAUUGGAUUUCUGUGUGGUCCUCUUGCUAGGGUUUGGAUCUGACCAUCUCCCUAAGGUUUGGUUGAAGGUGAUGACGCUAUGGGAAAGAGGUGGAAAUUCUCCGAGGUGGGACCUAGAUAGGAAAGUAGGUCACUGGAGCAUGGUCUGAUUAGAACCUGGCCCUGCACAUUCAAGCCCCCAGUCCUCCUCCCCUUCUCUCCCCACCUCUCCCCUCUCCUCUUUUUCCUCCUUUGUCCUUCUCAGGUUCAGGAGAUGAAAGUCCUGCCUCACCAAACAAGGGUACCAACCAACCAAGGACAAACGUCUCUGAAGCCAGGAGCUAAAAUAAAGCUUUUCUCUUCUAAGCUGAGUUUUUGAGGGGUGAGGAUUGGGGGGGGGUCUAUUUUCUCACAGAAAUGAAAAGCUGACUCACUUCCAUGCAAACAGUAGGUGGUUAAACAGACCCAGAGAUUGGUUUUCAAAAGGUACAGUCCUUUGAAAGAACUCUUUUUUUUUUUUUUUUUGGACAGGAAGUCCUUUUGAUUAUGAACUGAACUUGUGACUUGCUUUUAACCAAUAGGGAAGAAGGAAACCAUAUAAGUGACAGGGUGUAUGACACUGUCUGGCCUCUCUUUCAGUCUGGCUCAAUUCCUUGCCUACAUCACUCUGGCUCUCUUUUCUCCAGGUUCGGUAGGAAAAGAUUUCUUCAUCCUUUUCAGGGGAAGGUGUUUUUUAUUAGCACAAUAAGUUUUAUACACAUAAUAAAGGCUUUGUUACAUGACAUUUUCAUCUAAUGUAUAGGAUAUUUUUUUGAUCACACCACCCCUCUGUUCCCAACUCUCUCUUCUCAAGUAGCCCCCCGUCAUUGUCUGUCUGUUUUUGUGGCCUGUGAGUUUCCAGGUGCAUGGAUGAGAGACUGCUUACAGCAGUGUGGGCGCCUUAUCAGUGCUAUCGCACCGAAGUGACCACUACAGAAAAAUGUCUCUCCUUCAUCAACCCCUAACUUGCAGGCUCUUGAAAAGAUUCCCUGUGUUUUCAUCUAAAAGCUUCAGCCUUUCAUGUUUUAAAUUGAGGUCUUUGACUCAUUUCAAAUUGAUUUUGUGAAUUAUUUAUCUGAUUCCAUUUUUUUUUCUCCCAGUAGCUAUUCAGUUUUUC